rnacentral:rRNA from 1 species
GGGCCCGCACAAGCGGUGGAGCAUGUGGUUUAAUUCGAUGAUACGCGAGGAACCUUACCAGGGUUUAAAUGCAGAACGACAGGGGUGGAAACACCCCCUUCUUCGGACGGACUGCAAGGUGCUGCAUGGUUGUCGUCAGCUCGUGCUGUGAAGUGUCGGGUUAAGUCCCAUAACGAGCGCAACCCCCAUUUCUAGUUGCCAGCGGUUCGGCCGGGGACUCUAGAGAAACUGCCAGCGUAAGCUGUGAGGAAGGUGGGGAUGACGUCAAAUCAUCACGGCCCUUACAUCCUGGGCCACACACGUGCUACAAUGGUGGGGACAACAGGUUGCCAACCCGCGAGGGUGAGCCAAUCUUCAAACUCCGUCUCAGUUCGGAUCGAAGUCUGCAACUCGACUUCGUG